GAGCUGUGACGAAUACUGCGCCCCCAUGUGGUCAAAAGGGUCUCCGCACUUGUCCGAAUUUCAGGAUGAUACAACAGCGCAUCUGAGCUC
rfam:Nicotiana attenuata strain TT chromosome 2, whole genome shotgun sequence.